rnacentral:lncRNA from 1 species
AAACACUUGGGCUUGGCCCAAGAAGGCUGGUUGAGUGAAGAGUUACAAGUCACUCAUUGAAUGGAAAUUACCAGAUAUCUGAUAUUCCUAGUCUCUGACCGAUCUGACAGAAACCCUAGGCUAGAGGCCAGCUGGAAGCAUACGUUGGGUGUGGACUGUGGGAGAAGAUCAAGGGUAGAGAUGCAUUUGGACAAUAAGAAAUUUCAGAGAUCCAGGCUGUUCUAAGGGAACACGGUCUUACAUGUGCCAGAGGGUCCAAACCACCAGCCAACACCACAAUGGCAGAGAAGAACAGGCAUGGAAUUUCUAGAAUCCAUCUUGGGUUUUGCUUUACUUUUCAGAGGUGUAGGUAAUACAGGGAUGAACAAGAAAAAAAAAAGCAAUGGGGCAUACAUUGCAAGCAUGAGAGAGCAGACACUUAACAAGUAAACACAUCAGGAAGCAAAACUAGUCAAGCCAGUGAAGCAAGGCAUGAAGAAAAUAAAAUAAUACAAUAGAGAAUACCCAAGGAAGACUUUUGAUACGGUGCUGAAGAAGAGCCUUUUUAAAAUUGGGUCAUAUGAGUUAAAACCUGAAAGGUAAAGGAACAUCAGCUUUGAGAAACAUUGCAGAUCUCACAGUCUACCAGGCCCUGGACCAAGAGCACUGAGGAAGGAAACUGAGUCCAGAUCAGCGGGGACCUGUUGGUUUAUUGCCAUGACUUCCAGCAAGAGAGGAUGCAAAACAGUGCCUUUGGGAAGGAUCUCAGAGCCAUGCUCCCAAGAACUAAAUAGAAAGAGAUGUUCUCUUCCAAUUCUCUAAGCUAUUAAUGAACACUUCUGUGCUCUAUUUGAAUUAUGAAGAAAUGCCAAGAUAAUGCAUACUCAAGCAACGUUUAUACUGUAAACCUCUCUGCCCAUCUCCCCAUCCUGCCUCAUGUUUAUAUCAUAUCAAGGCCAUCCAGACAUGAAGUAGACGGAGAUUCUAGCAAAGCUCAGGUCACAUCCUAGGAUAAGAGUAGGCCUGCCCCCACUUCAGUGAUGGAGAAUAAAAGAGAUAAGAAAGAGCCAGAAUAGGAAACUGGUCCAUCAAUAUCAGGUAAACAACUCAUAUGCAUCACCUUCACCUGCCUUGCACAUGGCAGACAUUAUUAAUAGAUCAUGACUCUCCUUCCUGCUGAGACCAAAUGUGACUGCAGGAUCCUUCCCAAUUCAUGGUUCCAAGCAGACACAAUAAUAGACCAAAUUUGGAACAAGAGUUGAAAUCUAUCUGUCAACCCAGAACUUCAACCAUUCACUGAAGUAAAACGAGACAUUUUGAUGAAGCCAAGUGGAAAUGGAAAGGCUGUCUUACCAAGUAAUGUAUGCGGAGACAUUUUUGUUUCCCAUCCCAACACACACACACACACACACACACACACACACACAGAGAGAGAGAGAGAUCUCAUCAUGCAUUUAUGAGCUUGAAUAAAAAUGGUCUCAUGACAAAUUAGCUGUAGAGAGUGUUUACCAUUCUGACACCUCUAGGAAGGGGUUGUCACUAAGCCUCAUUGAGUCCCUGUGUCACUAAGUCUUACCAUCUCAGCUGUGAGGAGGAUAUAGUUGGACAAUCAAAACUCUAUACACAGAGUCUAUUUAUUAGGAAUUCAGGUUCUGGAUUGACUGGAGCUAGAUGCCCAAGUUUGUAUUGACUCUGCCAUUGAGUAGUUGGGUGACAGACUGCAUUAUUCAACCUUACUGGGCCUCAGUUUUCUUAUCUGUGAAGUGGGUAUAUAUGUAUGCCUACCUUCUACAUCUGUUGAAGUGAUUAAAUCAAUUGAUAUAUGGGAAGUGUUUAAAUCCAUGACCAGUGCAUAGUGAGGGCUUCAUAAAAGUGAGUAUGUAGAUAGAUUGAGACAAAGCAGAAUUCAGAUGCAGCUGAGACUCAGAAAACCAGGUAGAAGUUUGUCUUUCAGCAGUAAGCGGUGCUGGCACCUGAGAGGAUAACUAGGAAGAGGAAGGCAGGGCCCAGACCCAGGAAGGAUGGGCUUCCCUGGAGUGUGGACUGCACGUGGUCUCUGGGGCCAAGCAUAACCAGUGGUGAUCUCAGCAGCUUCUCAGCUGAGUGACCAUGAGCAAGUCACUUACUCUCUAGAGAUCUUAUUGUUCCCAUCUGUGAUGUGGGUACAGAUGGUAAAGCCUGACUCCUGUCUUUGAUGUGAGGAUCAAACACGGGCAUUGUGUCCGGCUCAGAGGGCAUACUCAGGAAAUGUGAACUACUGCCCCCGAAUGGUGGAUGUUCUCAGGGCCAGGGAUGAGGGGCCGAAGGGAGAGGGAGAUGAGGAGAUGGGGAGAAGCAUCCUGGUGCUUCCAUGACACCUCCAGGUGGAGCCUAGGAGUCAGAAAGGUGAAGAUGGAAAGUCAGCUGCUGGCAGAAGCCCCACCAUGAGAGCAAAUUCAGAGCCAGGCCCAGAGCCAAGGCUGUGUGCUGCCAUUUGCCUGGCAUCAGAUGGGAAUCCUUAACAUCAAGGUUGUUGGCCAAGGCCAAGGUCAGAGAGGGUCUCAAGUAUAGGGAAAGGGCCUGUAUAUGCAGGAUUCAGGGCCUGGAGAGAGGGAGAAACAGAUCACUGAGACCAGCAGGGCCUUACAGCAUGGAUCUGCUCAGCCACAGGAAAACAGGGCCCUGGAUCCCUUAGAGCUGUGGUUUGCAACCCGUUUUCUAUAUGGGUCUGCGGCCCUGCAUGUCAGCCAGAGUCAUUUCAGUCUUACUUGUUUUAAAAAUUGGGAUUUCUUGGAAUUUUUUUUAAAGGGAAAGUCACACUGCUUUUUUCAAAGGAUUUUGAAACCACUAGUUUGGAGCCUAGAAACCUUGACUUUUAGAAUCAUAGUACCUUGGAAGUAAAAAAUUCACUUUAGGAACCAUCUAGUCUGUCUUCCCAGAGCAGGAAAAUGUUCCCCUGUGACCUUCUAGGGCUCCUUCUUAGAUCUGUGUGUUGACAGGACAUCACCACCUUACAAGGUCAGUGUAGGGAUCCUCUAAUUGUUAGUAUAUUCACCCUGUGGUCUGGAGGUGAAAAGAGACUUCCUCUGGCUUUUGUCCAUUGCUGUCAUUCUGCCCUCAGGACACUGGCUCCCAUUGGCCCCCACAGCAGACUGUCCCUCACACUUCCUCAAACCAUGUCUGCUCCCAUCACUCUCCCGAAAAUACUUCUGCUGCUCCAGUGUGAGUUUCCUGAGCAUGGAAAUCAUGUUACCCACCUCUUAUCCCCACUGUCUAGAAGGGAAGAGGUCAAUACACUCUUAUGAUCUUGUG